CAAGCUUCCACAGGCAAGUGCACAUCCUGCUGAACCUGAGGAAGAAAAUGAUCUGUCCACACCCACUGCCUGGAGAAAGAAUGAUCGCUUGCUAGAAUCUGGAUGACUUCAGGCUUAGCCAAAUGCCAGCUAUGCUAAGGGAAGCUGAGGUUCUUGUCCUGGAGAAUUGCAGAAUGGACGCAGAGAUCCAUGACCGCGCGCGGCGGGGAGGAGGACGGCGCCGGGAGCCGGUGCGCGCCGCACUGCAGCCUCGCGGGGGCCGGGGACUCCUGCAGCCCCGGGUCCGCGCGGGGCGGGCACGCGGAGGAUCCACGCGGGCGAGCUGCGGCCUGCAGCUCCCAGCCGCGCUCCCCGGGGGCGCCCGCUCAGGACGCGCCCCCGCCCAUGCCGUACCGCGGUGGAAUCCUUAGCCUUUAGAGGGAGGGCUAAAUCAACAACAAACAAACGGCAGACAAACGGAAAACGAAUUCGAAAGGGCCCGGGGACCCUCCCGCAGAAGCAGGGCGCACACCGGCCAGCUCUAACUCUAGACUUGACUGCAUGUUGACAAGGGUUUCCAACCUCGCUUCCCCGAGGUACUGCGUGACUCAGUCCCUGCUCAGAUGGUGGUUGCUGUAAAUAGCUGCAAUUUCCCUCCUUCCGUCUCAAAGCACGGAUGGGAAGGGAUUUGCAGCAGGGACUCUGCAUUAUACUCAAGGUCUUGGUAAGAUGGACACGCGCUUCAUCAGCUCCCGACUUCUUGACUUCUCGGCAUUCCCAGGUCCGAUUGCCCCAGUGGUGGAAGUCACCUCCCAUAUAUGAUGAAAUAAAUGUCCACACCUA